UCGAGUAUUACUUGAGAUGUUUGAAACUAUAGAGUGAGCUAAACUAGCUUAGUAUGAGUCAAUAAUAGUGUAAACACACAAUCAUUCAUGCAAACAACAAUCAAUAAUUCAUGUAGCACAAUACGUAUAAUAAAACAUUAACAUUUGAGUAUGUAAUGAGCAUAAUGUAAUGCAAAAAAUUUCUUACCCAUCUAUCUACUACACUCCAUGAAUUCCCCAG
rnacentral:lncRNA from 1 species